rnacentral:rRNA from 1 species
GACGAACCGUGCGAACGUUAUUCGGAAUCACUGGGCUUAAAGGGCGCGUAGGCGGGCGAUCAAGUCCGAGGUGAAAUCCUCCAGCUUAACUGGAGAAGUGCCCCGGAUACUGGUCGUCUCGAGGAGGGUAGGGGCAUCUGGAACAUUGGGUGGAGCGGUGAAAUGCGUUGAUAUCCAAUGGAACUCCGAUGGCGAAGGCAAGGUGCUGGACCCUUUCUGACGCUGAGGCGCGAAAGCCAGGGGAGCGAACGGG